AACAAACGCUGGCGGCGUGCCUAAUACAUGCAAGUCGAACGAGGUAGCAAUACCUAGUGGCGCACGGGUGAGUAACGCGUGGAUAAUCUGCCCUUCAGUGGGGAAUAACUCUCCGAAAGGAGAGCUAAUACCGCAUAAGACCACAGUGACUUUGGUCACAGAGGUUAAAGGAGCAAUUCGCUGAAGGAUGAGUCCGCGUCAGAUUAUGGUAGUUGGUGGGGUAACGGCCUACCAAGCCUUCGAUCUGUAGCUGGUCUGAGAGGAUGAUCAGCCACACUGGAACUGAGACACGGUACAGCCUACUACGGGAGGCAGCAGUAGGGAAUAUUGGUCAAUGGGCGAAAGCCUGAAUCAGCAACGCCGCGUGAGCGACGAAGGCCUUAGGGUUGUAAAGCUCUGUUGCAAGGGAAGAAAAAAAUGACGGUACUUUGAGAGAAAGGACCGGCCAACUUCGUG
rnacentral:rRNA from 1 species